rnacentral:rRNA from 1 species
CAGCGCCGCGGGAAAACGGAGGGGGCUAGCGUUGUGCGGAAUUACUGGGCGUAAAGCGCACGUAGGCGGCUUGGUAAGUUAGAGGUGAAAGCCUGGAGCUCAACUCCAGAAUUGCCUUUAAGACUGCCGAGCUAGCAGGUGAGAGAGGUAAGUGGAAUUCCGAGUGUAGAGGUGAAAUUCGUAGAUAUUCGGAAGAACACCAGUGGCGAAGGCGGCUUACUGGCUCAUACUGGACGCUGAGAUGCGAAAGCGUGGGGAGCAAACAGGAUUAGAUACCCCUGUAGUCCCUGUCUCUUAUACA